AAUGUAAAAUAUUGGGGGACACGUCCCCCGUACCCCCCCCCCCCCCCGGUGGUGGAGCCCAUGGUCUUAAUUCCGCUCGCUGAACCGUUUAAGAUUCUUUUGUCUCGUUUGUGCUUAUUAUUUUUCCGACUGUUAUUAUUUUUUCCGACUGUUUUUUAAUGCCUACACACAUAUUUAUUUUCGUACACUAUUCGAUUUCAGCAAGCAUUUUCAACCUUUCUUACAGUUCUGGCGCGAGUUCGACCGGGUGGUGAGUUGCUCAGCCGGCUCGAAGCCGGCACUAACCACUACGAGGCCUCGAUGCAGCGGCUGAAAUCAUGGCUAAGCCGAGCUCAGGCGGCAUGCUUCAGCACAAAAGGGAACGGCCCAUUGAGCCUCCUCUGCAUCUUGGCGGAGAAGGCGUGAGUGGUGGCGUACACGGGUGACGAAAAUUUGGAUCACCCCCAUCAUAACAAGUCCGAAGGAAACGAACGGUGCCGGCUCAUCGUGGAGCGAACGGAAGUCUUGUGGGGGUUCAUGGUUUGGAAGGUAGUCUUUUGCUGUUGGCGACGGCGCACUUUGUGCUCAAUCAACAAACGGCGCACAAAGUGCGAAACACGCUGUGGUUUGUGUGUACCUAUCCAUGUGCUCCACACACCAUUCAAUGCUGAGCGCCAGCCAUCUGUAGCCGCGAAGACAGGUCGAGAAGCUGGCAAAAGAGUGAAGCUGAGCUGACGUGGAGUCGAUCCCUCCCCCGACGCAGUUUGGUGUGUGUCAGAAUUGAAAUACAGCGCAAUGCGACCGUUUCU